rnacentral:tRNA from 1 species
GGCGGCGUAGCUCAGUUGGUCAGAGCAGUGGAAUCAUAAUCCAAAGGUCCGGGGUUCGAGUCCCUGCGCCGCUA